rnacentral:rRNA from 1 species
CCCCCCUAGGCGCCGUGUGCUUGGUUUUAGGUUGGGGCGACCGCGGAGUACAAUAAAACCUCCACAAUGAAUGGGAACACCCCCUUAUCUGAGGGCCACACCCCCUAAGAAUUAGAACACUAACAUAAAAUGAUCCAUUACUUGAUCAAUGAACCAAGUUACCCUGGGGAUAACAGCGCAAUCCAUUUCAAGAGCCCCUAUCGACAAAUGGGUUUACGACCUCGAUGUUGGAUCAGGGUACCCCAGUGGUGCAGCAGCUACUAACGGUUCGUUUGUUCAACGAUUAAAACCCU